UACGUAGGUGGCAAGCGUUGUCCGGAGUUACUGGGCGUAAAGGGCGUUCAGGCGGGUGAUUAAGUUCGCUAUGAAAGCGCCGGGCUAAACCCGGCGAGGCUGGCGGAUACUGAUCAUCUGGAGUGAGUCAGAGGAAGGUAGAAUUCCGCGUGUAGUGGUGAAAUGCGUAGAGAUGCGGAGGAAUACCAGUGGCGAAGGCGGCCUCUGGGGCUCAACUGACGCUAAAGCGCGAAAGCAUGGGGAGCGAACGGG
rnacentral:rRNA from 1 species